AUUGUGCUUGCAUACAAGUUUAUAACCCGGUCUGUGGAGUAAACGGAAGGACGUAUUCUAACUCAGGAUGUGCCGGGUGUGCAGGUGUUUCCGUACAGUGUAUGGGGGAGUGUCCGUGUAGAAACCCAAGGAACCCAGGGAACUGUGCCUGUCCGUUUAUAUACGACCCGGUCUGUGGAUUUAAUGGUAGGACCUAGAGUAACAGCUGUACUGCACGCUGCAGUGGAGUAUUUUUCUAUUGGCGGGGAAGAUG